UAGGUCGGGAACUCAAAGGAGACUGCCAGUGAUAAACUGGAGGAAGGUGGGGAUGACGUCAAGUCAUCAUGGCCCUUACGACCAGGGCUACACACGUGCUACAAUGGCGCAUACAAAGAGAAGCGACCUCGCGAGAGCAAGCGGACCUCAUAAAGUGCGUCGUAGUCCGGAUUGGAGUCUGCAACUCGACUCCAUGAAGUCGGAAUCGCUAGUAAUCGUGGAUCAGAAUGCCACGGUGAAUACGUUCCCGGGCCUUGUACACACCGCCCGUCACACCAUGGGAGUGGGUUGCAAAAGAAGUAGGUAGCUUAACCUUCGGGAGGGCGCUUACCACUUUGUGAUUCAUGACUGGGGUGAAGUCGUAACAAGGUAACCGUAGGGGAACCUGCGGUUGGAUCACCUCCUUACCUUAAAGAA
rnacentral:rRNA from 1 species